rnacentral:misc_RNA from 1 species
GGCUCUGGGUAUAAAUUGUCUAUUAUUACAUUAAAACAUAUAACAUAUAGUUCUGUGUUUGUUAUGGUAAAACAUUUCUUCUACAAUUCUAUGGAGACAAACGUUUAUCUCUAAUUGGUAGUCCCUGUGUCAUUUACAGUUGAAAACUGUAUCUUACUUCAUCCUUAAAGCUAAUAGUAAAUACACUGCCUCAGUCAGGAAUAGACCCCGACUUUAACUCAUCCAAUAACAUUUGAAACUAUUUAAUGACGGCAAGGACUGAAAUACACAUUUUCCAAGUCCACAGUAAAUUUCCAUUUGGUAUAUUGCAUGUUGCCUUAGAGGGAUCAAUUCCGAUUUUCGUGGUUUUGUACUAUCAAUUUAAAGGUAGAUUGUGGAAUAAAAACAACACUGCCCGUAUUUAUACUGAUGUGCAAGACGUUGCUGUUUAGACAUGUGGACGCUAAUUAGGCUCAAGGAAAAAGCGUAUUCGUCCAAAGAUUUGAAGACAAACGCUCUGUGCACGUACCGGAAGUACAUAUUUUUAAUUCCAUAGUAUAUGUCUCAUUCGGUAUAUCGCAUGUUACCGUAAAGGGCUCGAUCCCGAUUCCCUAUUAAAUCAAUUCAAUAUAUGCCUAGCAUUGUAACAUUAAUGUGUUACAUGUUUAGGUAACAAAUAAAAAUGUAAUUACUUUUUAUUGCAGCACUAGGUUUAACAAAGCAAGGCUAAAAAGGUCGAAGCAGGAAAAUGAACAUAUAUAUGUUAUCGUAAAUAAAACACAAAUACCAUACCACGAAUCAAUUAUUGAUAUUGAUAUUGCUAAACUUGACGUUUCUUAUGACAUGACUGCCGAACUAUAUGCCACCAUUGAUGUAAGCAGUAUGAAAUUUAACGUGGAUCUAUCAACAAAAGCAGACAUUGACUUCCUACUAGGACUAGUUAAUUAUGAGGCGAAUAUAUUCCACACAGAUGUUUGCUAUAAAGGAAGACUGGACUACAGUGUCCCAAAGGACUUUAACAAAGAUGAAUUGCAGAACAAUAUCAAACGAUACGAUGAAGAAAUAGUCCAGACCAUGGAGCCAACGAAGGUGGCUAUUAGGACAUUUAGAUCUACUUUGGAAUCUUUUCAAGGUCAAGGCAGUGAUUCAGUUGUGCAGUCCUUACUAGCCGGAAGUGAGGAUAUACCACUAAGCUAUUCGGAGGCUUUUGCGAAUAUAAGUUACGUUGAAGAAACUUUACAGGAGUUAAAUCUCCCAAGUACGAAACAGUCAGACUUAAAAGCCACUAUAAUGAGCAUGAAAAAUUUAGCUGACGACUCUCGAUCUGCUAGUCUUAACCUGUACAUGGAUAUUAUUGAUCCUAUUGCGAUGGACCUUCCGUAUGCACAUAAAAGGUUGAUAAUGUCCUAUAAUGAAAUUAGUACGGCAUUGAAAUCCGUCAUAAAUUCACCAUCACAGGCUGUCGAUAAAAUGACUCGUGGAUUGUCACACAUGCGGUCAGCCAAUGCAAUGUUUAUCAAUGCUAAACAACAAAUCGAAAAUGCUUUGUCAUUUAAUAAAGGAGGAACGGCAUGGACUGAAAACGCGAAAGAAAUUCAAAGGCUUGCUUUGAGAUUCAAAGAACUUGGACAAGAAACAGAAUAUAUUAUUCAGAAGAAAACAAAUAUUCUUGACUUCAACGACAGGGUGGACAUGUCGGUAUCCCCUACCACGCUUAUUUCAACUUUGACCAAAUUGUCUAAGAAAGUUGAACCGUUGAAAAUGAUGCACAGAGUAACAAAGUCAUUCCUGGACAAAUUCAAAAUAUUUUCCGACUUAGUAAAACAACUAAAAAAAGACUUCAUGAACACGAAAUCCUCAAUUGACUUUUGUAAAGCAAGAGUAAAUUUGAUAUUCGGACCAAAGUUUCACCCAGACUUCCCAAGACGGACUCGUAAGGCGGACCAACUCUGUUCUGCAGGCGUCUUUCCAACAAACACAGACGGAAACUUUAAGACAGAGGGGAUUGACCUUGAAAUCGUAGGAAAUUCGCAGAUUGUUAAUCCAGUAGAUGGCAUCAUUUUCAUCAAAAACACUUCAGUGAUAAUUAAACCAACGCAAGAUGAUUUCAGGGAACUCGAAUUUAUUAUUGAGAAUAUCAGUCCAGAUACAGGGCUACAUAUGAAGCGGGUACCAUCCGGGAUAUUUAUUGGAAGAUCAUUUCAGCCAAAUAUAUGCAAGACGAGUUUUAUUCACCUGUCCAUGCGAGAACGUGAAACGGAUAGGAAAUAUAAUCAUACCCGCAAUAAAAGAUCUGAUCAAUCUGGAAGUUUUAUAGAUCCUUCUAGACUUAUAAACAAAAUAUUUGACGAUAUUCUUCGAUACGUAAAAUGGAACCAGGAGUGCAACAGUUAUGAGGUCAGUUUUUUCGGAAAGGUGUCGGACAGUGGACAAUUAUGUGACAGCCUUUCCGAGUAUAUAACAAAAACGGUCAGAAAAGAUUCUGCAAGUGAAUGCGUUAAAGACAUGCCUGACCCUCUCUCUGCGACAAAAAAGAACAGAAGGGAUACAUUGAAUGUUAAAGAUAUUCUUCGGCAAAAUAUUAUUGAUAAUAUUUCUUCUACCUCACGUAUAAUCAACGACAUAUUUGAAACAAGCUUGUUCAGUGACACCGGACCGAGAAUUCCAAGCUUUAAAAAUUUCCAGUCGCUGAAGAAUUUGUCAGUAGAGAAUGUCCUAUUGUCUCUGAUCAAACCAACGAAAAAGAAGCCUUACUUAAAUUAAUCGACAAAACAGUAUAAGAAAUAAUGACAGUACCGGUGAGAAAUGUAAUAUCUAUGACAAUGAAAAGAAUGCGGUUGCUUCAAGCUCUAACGGGAACCGUUAAACGCAUUGAUGAUUCUGCAUCUGUAAUGAAUGUAUUUGACGAAACGCCAUUUCUCUACGAAAAAGUGUGUCCUCAUUUCCACAGCGCUGUCAAAGACAGCGGUAUAUUCUGUUUUGCAAAAUCAACUUGUGAAGGCAUAACAUGCAAUGUGCCUGUCAAGACAGUCGGAUAUGUUCAUUUGUUGUUGAUAAGCGUCAUGAUUGAGCCUGCUGGAAAUUUCUUAUACAUAUCAACUGCAGAAGAAACGCACAAUAUAACAGUUGAAAGUAAGGAGUUUGUCUUGCCGACAAAUAUAAGUUACGAAGGAUUUCAACUUUUCCUAAACAUCAAAAUAAAAGCUGCAAACAGGAUGACUUUGUCUAUUGAGAUGGAUGUAUGCAAUGGCAUGAUGAGUUGCUUUGAAACAACACAUAUUUUUGAAGAUCUUAAAUUGCUCCAAACUACAAAAGAAUAUCCAUCUUCAAUGUUAAGGAAAAAGACUGUUAGAGAAGAAAUUGUUAAAGGUUCAUCGUUUUAUCUUUUUGUGUUUGGAGACACCGGGGAACACAUCAAGCUCGCAUGUAAUAAAAGACAUGUAAUAAAACGUCGAUCUAACAUCGGUGAGGAAAUCGUUAACAUCAUAAGUGGGAAGUUCAAUUCAACGUCACAAAGCGUACAGAUGCUUAGGUUUGUCUGGGACACACUUAGGAUUUUUGGACCAGAUGGGCAAGAUACAUUGAAAGACUCACUAGCCAAUUCUAUAACAAAUGCAGUAGACGAGUUGGAAAAAAAGUUCAUAACAUUCGAAUGUCAUAUGACAAUUACACUACCGGUUUUAAACAUUAUGACGGAUAUAACACCGUUAGUAUUUCCUGUUGGACCUGUUCCUGUUA